rnacentral:rRNA from 1 species
GAUGAACGCUGGCGGCGUGCCUAAUACAUGCCAGUCGAGCGAACAGACGAGGAGCUUGCUCCUCUGACGUUAGCGGCGGACGGGUGAGUAACACGUGGAUAACCUACCUAUAAGACUGGGAUAACUUCGGGAAACCGGAGCUAAUACCGGAUAAUAUAUUGAACCGCAUGGUUCAAUAGUGAAAGACGGUUUUGCUGUCACUUAUAGAUGGAUCCGCGCCGCAUUAGCUAGUUGGUAAGGUAACGGCUUACCAAGGCAACGAUGCGUAGCCGACCUGAGAGGGUGAUCGGCCACACUGGAACUGAAGCACGGUCCAGACUCCUAAGGGAGGCAGCAGUAGGGAAUCUUCCGGAAUGGGCGAAAGCCUGACGGAGCAACGCCGCGUGAGUGAUGAAGGUCUUCGGAUCGUAAAACUCUGUUAUUAGGGAAGAACAAAUGUGUAAGUAACUAUGCACGUCUUGACGGUACCUAAUCAGAAAGCCACGGCUAACUACGUG